rnacentral:rRNA from 1 species
GUGUCAGCAGCCGCGGUAAUACGAGAGGUCCAAACGUUAUUCGGAUUUACUGGGCUUAAAGAGUUCGUAGGCGGCUAAGUAAGUGGGGUGUGAAAUCCCUCGGCUCAACCGAGGAACUGCGCUCCAAACUACUUAGCUAGAGGAAGAUAGAGGUAAGCGGAACAGAUGGUGGAGCGGUGAAAUGCGUUGAUAUCAUCUGGAACACCGGAGGCGAAGGCGGCUUACUGGGUCUUUUCUGACGCUGAGGAACGAAAGCUAGGGGAGCAAACGGGAUUAGAUACCCUCGUAGUCC